UGCAAGUCGAGCGAAUCUGAUGGGAGCUUGCUCCCUGAUGAUUAGCGGCGGACGGGUGAGUAACACGUGGGUAACCUGCCUGUAAGACUGGGAUAACUCCGGGAAACCGGGGCUAAUACCGGAUAACUUUUUUCUUCGCAUGAGGGAGAAUUGAAAGAUGGCUUCGGCUAUCACUUACAGAUGGACCCGCGGCGCAUUAGCUAGUUGGUGAGGUAACGGCUCACCAAGGCGACGAUGCGUAGCCGACUUGAGAGGGUGAUCGGCCACACUGGGACUGAGACACGGCCCAGACUCCUACGGGAGGCAGCAGUAGGGAAUCUUCCGCAAUGGACGAAAGUCUGACGGAGCAACGCCGCGUGAGUGAUGAAGGUUUUCGGAUCGUAAAACUCUGUUGUUAGGGAAGAACAAGUAUCGUUCGAAUAGGGCGGUACCUUGACGGUACCUAACCAGAAAGCCACGGCUAACUACGUGCCAGCAGCCGCGGUAAUACGUAGGUGGCAAGCGUUGUCCGGAAUUAUUGGGCGUAAAGCGCGCGCAGGCGGUUUCUUAAGUCUGAUGUGAAAUCUUGCGGCUCAACCGCAAGCGGCCAUUGGAAACUGGGAGACUUGAGUGCAGAAGAGGAGAGUGGAAUUCCACGUGUAGCGGUGAAAUGCGUAGAGAUGUGGAGGAACACCAGUGGCGAAGGCGACUCUCUGGUCUGUAACUGACGCUGAGGCGCGAAAGCGUGGGGAGCGAACAGGAUUAGAUACCCUGGUAGUCCACGCCGUAAACGAUGAGUGCUAAGUGUUAGAGGGUUUCCGCCCUUUAGUGCUGCAGCUAACGCAUUAAGCACUCCGCCUGGGGAGUACGGCCGCAAGGCUGAAACUCAAAGGAAUUGACGGGGGCCCGCACAAGCGGUGGAGCAUGUGGGUUUAAUUCGAAGCAACGCGAAGAACCUUACCAGGUCUUGACAUCCUCCUUGACCUCCCUAGA
rnacentral:rRNA from 1 species